GUUUGUGUUUUUCUGUUAAAACAACUGAAUGUUUAAUUCACUUAAGUGUUUGCAUUUGUGGAGUAAUUUUAAUUUUCAGUUCAUUCGUCACCUUCAGCUCGAAACACCACGCCACCGACCGCCACCGCGACGACGACAGUUUUUGAAAAGUCACUCAAGAUUCAGUUCAACUUUAAACAGUUUUAACAACAAUAACAGGAAAACUCACCUCAAAACCAACAACAUGAGUUCCAACGGUUCUCAAUUUUACGAUGGUGCCCAGAACGAAGUCUACUGUACGGGCAAACUUCUGCACCAUGUCCAAAUGAAUUCUAUUUUCAAGGACUCCAAGACGUUUGUUGACAUGAAAUUAAAAAAUUCGCCAAAUGUCACAAUCACCAAGUUCGAAGAACUUUUAAACAGCAAAGACCAAAAUCCAUCCAAAACCGACAUCGAACAAUUUGUCAAGGAUAACUUUGAUGAUCUUGGCAAAGAAUUUGAAAACUACACUCCCCAAGAUUGGAUUGAAAGACCUCGUUUCUUGGAUCUUAUUCGUGAUCCCGAUCUUAAGCAAUGGGGCAGUGAAUUGAAUGGAAUCUGGAAAAUUCUCGGACGUAAAAUGAUCGAUGAUGUGCACAAGAAUCCCGAAUACUAUUCCAUCAUUCCUGUUGAUAAUCCAGUUAUUGUUCCUGGUGGACGUUUUAUUGAAUUCUACUACUGGGAUUCCUAUUGGAUCAUUCGUGGACUUUUGCACUCACAAAUGGACCAAACAGCCCGCGGUAUGUUGUCGAACUUCUUGUCAAUUGUCCAGCGUUUCGGUUUCAUUCCAAAUGGAGGUCGUGUCUACUAUGCAAAGCGUUCUCAACCACCACUAUUGGCUGGUAUGAUCAAAUCUUAUGUGGAAUUCACCAAGGACGAUGAAUUUGCCCUCAAUAGUGUCGAGACAUUGGAGCAUGAAUUCGAAUAUUGGAUGAACAAUCACACAGUUCAAGCUAAGGGCUAUAAUUUGUUUGCCUAUGGUGAUUCUUCUGUCGGACCAAGGCCCGAAUCUUAUAGGGAAGAUGUUAUUAGUGCUAGAAGAUACGACACAGAUGAGAAGAAACAAGCAUUCUACUCUGAACUUGCUGCUGCAGCGGAAUCUGGAAUGGACUUUAGCAGUCGUUGGUUUAUCAAUGACAAAGGUACCAAUGAGGGCAAUCUGACUGACUUGAAGUGCCGGUCAAUUAUUCCAGUUGAAUUAAACGCCAUUUUGUAUUGGAAUGCUAAGAUCAUUGCGGAAUUCUACACAAUGUCUAAUAAUGUUGCCAAAUCAAGUGAAUACGAGACGAAGGCUAAGAAUAUUCUCGAGGCAAUCAAUGCUGUCCUCUGGAACGAAGAAGCCGGUGUAUGGUUGGACUAUGACAUGCUGAACAACAAACCCCGAAACUACUUCACUCCAACAAAUCUCUUCCCCCUAUGGACAAAGGCUUUCAAUCCUAAGGAUUCUGAAAAGAUCUCGAAAACUGUACUCAAGUACAUCGCUAAGCUUGAGCUUGAUAAAUACCCUGGUGGUGUACCAAAUACAUUAUCAAACACCGGAGAGCAAUGGGACUACCCCAAUGUCUGGCCACCAAUGCAACAUACCUUACUCGAAGGUCUUGCUAAUCUCAAAACUCCAGAGGCUACAAAACUGGCAAAAUCAUGGAGCUUCCGAUGGGUUCGAUCGAAUUUUGCCGCCUUCAAGGAGACUCAGGCGAUGUUUGAAAAGUAUGAUGCCGAAAAAUUUGGUGGACAUGGAGGUGGCGGUGAAUAUGAUAUCCAAACUGGUUUUGGAUGGACAAAUGGUAUUAUCAUUGAUUUACUUACUAAGUACGGUGAUGAAAUUACCCCAGCGCCUACAUCAAAAGGUGAAAACAAUGAAACCGUACAAUAAUUUUUGUGUUGACACAAAUAUUUUCACUGACGUCCUUAAAAAAUAAUGUGUUUUGUCCAACGUCCAAUAAUUCUACUCUACACUCGAAAUUUAUGUACAAACAGAUCAUAAUAUACAAUAACACGCAAAUAAACAAUGAAAAAAUAACGAACAACAAUUUAAAAACAGAAACAACAACAAAGAACAUUGUGAUAAAGAUGAAAAAAGGACUAUUUUUUAAAUUAUGGGUUCUGGUAAACCAAAAAUAAACUAUUACUAUAAAUCUUUAAUGAUUUUUAUAUGUCAACAAACACAAUCAUCAUCAUCAUCAUUAUCCACACCAGCACCAGCAUAUUUGUUAAAGAAAAUUUUAUAAAAAAUAUCCUGUUUUGUGUAAAGUUUUGUGUUUUGUCUCAUGUCAAAUUUUUCCUCAAUUUUUAAUAUAAUAACAAAACCAAUCGAGAGCAGCUGAAUAAAAAUCAAAUCUAAAAUUAUAUCAAUCCUGCCAACGAACAUGUGUCUGUAAUGAAGUAUAACAUCAAUGAUGAGUUUAGUUGCGGUAGCCGCAGUUGCAGUUAUCGUGACAACAGUCGGACGAUUCCUAUGGUGAGAUAUCCUAGAAUAAUGCCCCCCAAACAACCAGUUAACCAAAAAAUAAUUUAAACAAAAAAAUCCUCGACUUUUUUGUUGCCUAAAUAAUAAUUAUUUAUUUAUUUGUUUGUUUGUUUAAGAAAAAUAAACUAAAUCAAGCAUGUUGUGUUAUUGUUAACAUCUUAAGUUUGUAUAAACUAUUUCUUUUAGUUUUUCCAUGUUUUUUUUUGUUUGUUUAAUUAUUGUUAUUUUUGUUUGUUUAAUAUUAAAAUCAAAUGUAAAUUA